rnacentral:rRNA from 1 species
CUACGGGCGGCUCCAGUGGGGAAUAUUGGACAAUGGGCGCAAGCCUGAUCCAGCAAUGCCGCGUGAGUGAAGACGGCCUUAGGGUUGUAAAACUCUUUCGCUAGGGAAGAUAAUGACUGUACCUAGUAAAGAAGUCCCGGCUAACUCCGUGCCAGCAGCCGCGGUAAUACGGAGGGGACUAGCGUUGUUCGGAAUUACUGGGCGUAAAGAGUUCGUAGGCGGACUGACAAGUUAGAGGUGAAAUCCCAGGGCUCAACCCUGGAACUGCCUUUAAAACUGUUAGUCUAGAGACCGGAAGAGGUUAGGGGAAUACCUAGUGUAGAGGUGAAAUUCGUAGAUAUUAGGUGGAACACCAGUGGCGAAGGCGCCUAACUGGUCCGGUACUGACGCUGAGGAACGAAAGCGUGGGGAGCAAACAGGAUUAGAUACCCUGGUAGUC